AACUGGGUGGCUCAGUUGGUUAAGUGACUUCGGCUCAGGUCACGAUCUCAUGGCUCAUCAGUUCAAGCCCCGCGUCGGGCUCCGUGCUGACAGCUCAGAGCCUGGAGCCUGUUUGGGAUUCUCUGUCUCCCUGUCUCUGUCCCUCCUCCCACUCAUGCUGUGUCUCUCAAAAGUAAAUAAACAUUAAAAAAAAAUUUUAAACAGUAUAUUGCACUACAAAAUAAGGCAUAUAUGUAGGUAUAUAGAGGUACACACACUACAUGCACACACGUACGACAUAUAAAGAUCUCAGAAAUAGAAAUGGAAAGAGAGGACACUUUUCACAACACGUUAUGUAAAUUAAAAAGGACUCAUAUAUGAAACAGUAUUUUAUAUCUGAUAUGUGCAUAGGUAACAUAGGAAAUACAUCAGACGGGCUGUGGGUAGAGAGAACCAGACUGGACUACAGAGGAAGGGAAUAUAAAAUAAUGGGGGAUUCUCGAAUAGAGCGACAGUGAUCAUUAGCUAUCAACUGAAGAAUCUGACUGAAUUCUCCUUACAUGAUUGCCAGUCUGCCCACCACCUCACUGCCAGCCAUACUGUGUAAACUGUAAUACUCAAAUUGGUGUGUGUGUAAGUGGUGAAAGCAAACAGGUUUGUUUUCUAAAACCACAAGUCUGAAGAGAGGAGGAAAAAAUACUGUAGGAAAUCUAAAAGUGACUACAACUUGAUAGAAAAGUAUGCAGCAGCGCACAAAGAAUGAGAAGGUAAGGAAGAAAGGCAAAACACUAAUGGAAUAAUGAGAAAGUCCAGAGAGGACCCCUCUGAAUAGAUGAACGAGCUUGGCAUGAGAAAGGUGUUUGGGCCAGGUCAGGAAGUUUUUAAAGAAUAAGAAGGGGGCACCUGGGUGGCUCAGUCGGUUGAGCAUCUGACUUCAGCUCGGGUCACGAUCUCACGGUUCGUGAGUUCAAGCCCCGCGUCGGGCUCUGUGCUGACAGCUCAGAGCCUGGGGCCUGUUUCAGAUUCUGUGUCUCCCUCUCUCUCUGUCCCUCUCCCCCUCACGCUGUGUCUCUUUCUCUCAAAAAGAAAUAAAUGUUAAAAAAAUUAAAAAAAAAAAAAAGAUUAAGAAGGCCCAGUGUUACUUGGAAUUCUUGUGAACAAUCUUACAAAAGCUUUGAAUUUCUUCCUGGUUUCCACACCCUCUUCCCAAAAUGUCUAUUACAGCCUAUAUGCAUUUUGGGAUUUUAUUCCACUCUUUGGAUCUGAUAAUGUCCCAAGCCAGAUCAUCAUCUGUUCCAGCUUUUAACUUUCUAUCCCCGGACUUUCAGGAGUCUGCCUUCUGUAUUGUGCCCUGAAACUUAAACACAUUUCUCUUAAAUCCCUAGUGAACUUGCAUUCCGGCAGUUUCUACUUUCUGUUGGUGAUGGGGGUGUCCUUGCUCUCCAUUAGAUGGCGAAUUGGAUUGUUUUUCUGGGGAUGGUUCAUCUGAUUAACCUAUUAGCUUAAUCUAGAGAUAAAAAAAAAAUCCCUCUCUAGAACUCUUUCUUGGGGGGGAAAAAAGGCUUUUCAGGACACUUUUCUGAGCUAAGGCAUUCAUUCAUUCUAAUUACUGAUCAGUUAUUUGACCAGUUCAGCUAUUCAUACUUCUAGCUCUUCACAUGGUAAUUUUAGCCUCAGGAUUUUACCAGCAUGCCAUUUAAUGUUGGGAGACUAGAGGUAUAACAAAAGGAGUCCAGGGAGAGUAAGAAACAUGCAGGGGGAAAAUAAGAGUUCUUUGGAAGCCUGUGGGGAGCUCUUCUGUCACUUCAAGGGUCCAGGUUACUCUGACCAACUAGUUGGGAUAUAAGCUAGAACAGUUUCCACCUGCUUGGUGCUUGUCAGUUACCUGGGCACGGAGCACUGGUCACUUCUCGCUCUACCAUCAAGAGGUCUUUCCCUUGCUUCAAAGAGGAUAUGACUUCCGCCUUGUAAGUCCAGUGUCCUAAGAGAAACCAAUGACCUUGAUCAUGCUGUGGUCAUUACAGAAUUUAGACCCACACUUUUCGGUAAUGAUGUAUCUCCUUACCACCCUAAAAAUCUCCCAGCAACCUCCAAAGCGCCCCUGUUUUUCUUUUUUAAAAAAGUACCACUCAGGGGCACCCGAGUGGCUCAGUCAAUUAUGCGUCCAACUUCAACUCAUGAUCUUGAGGGUCGAGAGUUCGAGUCCUGCUUUGAGGUGUCUGCUGUCGGCACAGGGCCUGCUUCGGAUCUCCUGUCCUGCCCCGCCUCUCUCAAAAAUAAACAUUAAAAAAAAAAAAAAAAAGGACCAUCUACAUUUAUAACAGUUCCCCAGCUGUUUCUGAGGCACGCAGUAGCCUGAGAAGCAUGGUUCUUAAGGCAAGUGUGAUGGUUUGGAAGAUGGUGAAUGAAGCUUGGGUCAUCACAAGAUGCAAAUGUCCUUUCCUAGCAUCACAGGGCUCCAGUCCUUUGCUGAAGGAGGUCAAGAUGAAAUUCAGUCAAGCAUUCUCAGGGGCUUUGAGAUAUUCACACAGAAGGAAAGAUUCCACCACAGGCAGUUUUAAACCAGCAGGGAAAGAUCUCCUUACCCAAAGACACAAAGUAAUCACAGUUAUCCAGCAUCACAUCCUUAUACAACUGUCUCUCUUCAGGGCUCAGAUAAGCCCACUGGUCCGGAGAAAAGAUCACAGCCACAUCUCUAAAUUUCACAGACUCCUGAAAUAACAGUUUAUGCUUUAUAUGUAUGCAAGCUUCCGUGUGCCUCUUGGUAGUUUUCAAGUUGGGCAUAAGAGGGUGACAGCAUAUAAGGAUAGAUAAGGGGACACCUGGGUGGCUCAGUCGGUGAGGCAUCCAACGCUUGAUUUCGGCUCAGGUCAUGAUCCCAGGGUUUGUGAGAUGGAGCCCCGCAUCGGGCUCUGUGCCGACAGCACGAAGCCUGCUUGGGAUUCUCUCUACUCCCUCUCUCUGACCCUUUCCCACUCAUCCUCCCUCUCUCUCUCUCUCUCUCAAAAUAAACAUUAAGAAAGAAAAAAGGAUAGGUAAGAAUGUGUGGCCGAAAGCGGUAAUGGAAAGCAGAAACUCUAAGAAAUAUACUUUGCCCUUGUAGAGUUUGGGGAGGCAAAAAUCACCCAUCCUCAUGAAAAAGGAACAGCUAAAGAAAUAUCUUUGGUGUAUGUGCUGAAGUCUCAAGCCUGCCAGAUUUCUGACUGGCACUUACACUGUCGACUUUCCUGGUUCCCAGGCUUUCUUGCUGGGGCUGGAACUACACCAUCAGCCCUCCUGGGUCUCCAGCUCGCCAACUACAGAUCUAGGGACUUCUCAGACUUUAUAAUCACAUGAGUCCUUAUAAGAAGUCCUGUGUAUCUCCUGUUGGAGAAUCCUGAUGAAUACAAUCACUUGUUAAAUGCCAUGCAGUGUCGAUUGAUAAAGAUUUACAAUUACAGGAGCUGAGAUAUCGUGGGGCACCUGCAGAAAUGAAGUAAAUUUGUCCUUUGAGUGAACAGACCCCUAUGGUUCUGCCAUGAUGGAGUAGCUGCUGGGAGUUGCCCCCUUGCCGUGAAAGAACUAAAAAGCUAGAUAAAUAAACAAGUCACUAUUCUUACACUCUAGAAAGUGACAUAUCCAAGGCUGUGACCUUUGACAGAAGAAAAGCGCAUGAUCCUGGCAUUCUCUUGGAUGGCAUUGCUAGGGUCACAGUGCAGGAACAUAGAACCCAAGCUGGGAUCUUGCUGGAUGAUGGGAGAGGAUAUCAGAGUUUGGAGCUUCCUUCCAACACAGCUGGGGUGUGGAGGGCAGGAUGCUGGAGGGGGAGCCCUAAACACCUAUAUAAGAAUUUCCCUCAGGCCCUUGGUGGACAUUGAAAAUGUGCCUAUACAGCACCAGACUUGUGAGAACAGUUCUUGGGAUACAGAGUCCGACAGAACUCUUGGAGGUCACUAACCAAUCCUACUUUCUUGGGUUAGAAGGUAGGAUUCCAGACUAUCCCAGUGCUCAGGGAGAACAGCGUGACUGAGCAUUUAGUGGAGGCCAUACACCUAGAGUUUUUUGUUUUUGUUUUUUUUAAGUUUAUUUGUUUAUUUGGAGAGUGAGAGAAAGAGCUCAAGUGAGGGAGGGACAGAGAGAGAGGGAGACAAAGAACCCCAAGCCGGCUCUGCGCUGUCAGCCCCGAGCUCGACAUGGGGCACGAACUCAUGGAACCAUAACUUGAGCCAAAACCAAGAGUCAGACACUUAACCAACUGAGCCACCCAGACACCCCCUAGAUUUAUAUACCCAGUAAAGAGGUCCUUUGAAAAUGAAGGCAGAUACAAAUUUAUCAAUUUGGAUUUGAAAAGCUGAAUGACCAGUAACCACAAGACAAAAAGAAACUUCUCUCCCAGAAGAAAUAAGUUUUGAUAAGUUUUUGUGUCUGCCUAUUACGGAUUCCUAACAGGUCCCCCCAGAAAGUUACAUUAAAGUCCUGCUCCCUGGUACCUCAGCAUGUGACCUGACUUGAAAAUAGGGCUUUCACAGAAGUAAUCAAGUUAAAAUGAGAUUAGGGUGGGCCUUACUCCAAUGGGACUUAUAAAGGGGAGAUUUGGAUCCAGAGACAGACAUGCACAGAGGGACACUGCAUGAGGAGACGGGAGAAUGCGAUGUAAAGAGAAAAAAGAUUCGGGAGAGGAGUGUACAAGCCAAGGAGCGCCCAAGAUUGCCACAAAACCAGCAGAAGGUAGGGUCGAGGCCUGGAACAGAUUCUCCCUUACAGCCCAAGCAGCAAAAUGUUUUCGGGCCCUGUAAAUUCGUAUUUUAGGAAGGAAAUCAGAAGAAAGCGAUUCACCUGUGAUAUCACCUUGAGAAAUGAAAGAGCCAUUUUUCUUUCCUCCUCCUCCUCCUCCUCCUCCUCCUCCUCUUAGGAGAAAGCAGACUCCUGGGAAGCCACACCUUCAAAUUGAGGGCAGAAGCAUGUGAAGCCAGGCAUCCCAACCUCCAUCCCCACCCCAAAUCACUACCAACUCAGUCACACAGAGGAAACCAGGAAUACACAACAGCCUCCCAACCUUGACCUGCAGGCUCCCCUACAAGGGCCCCACAAGGAGCCCACACGUGAUGCUGCAGCAGCUGCGAUUUGGGGGCACAUGGGGCCUCCCCCCAUGUUCCAAAAUGUGUAGCUCUGCUUUCCAGAUCUACCCUGAACAAAGCUCCCUCCACGUCCCAGUGGAACAGAGCAUGAACUCACCCCCUCGGAGAGGUCAGCUCCAACACGGUCAGCAAGCCCGGCACGCACCUGAGCCUGCUUAUGUAGAGCCCGGGUCAUCGCACCCAGAAACUUCUCAUUUGCCAAUCAAGGCCAGUAACUGCCCGCAGGGCUCUCAGCCCUAAUGGCCCCAACUAUGGUAUGAAUAAGAAGGAGCAGGGAACACAGGAGUGUCUGGUCAAGGUCUAGGCUGAAAAUUCCCAAGUGCUCUUUGUUCGUGCCUACUGUGUACCCCAAUCAUGAUGUCAUACAACACACACCACAGAAGGGCUUGUGACACACUUCCCACUUAGAGCCUUGAGAUGGGGGGAUCUCACCUGAUGCCCUCUACCCAUAUGAAGCAGCUGCACGGAGAAGAAGCAGUGAGGUGCCUUCAGUGGGGUGAUGGUGUAAAAAGGCACCUCCUCUUUCCCUUGGCCCAUCGGUGACUUGGGGGAAAUGCGGUAGGUGCUGUUUGCUCCAGCAGGGGUUGUGAAUGAUGGGAGGGUAUGGUAGGCAGAAUAAUGACCCCACCACCAGCACCCCAAGAGGACCACAUCCUAAUUCCCAAAACCUGUGACUGUGUUACCUUACAUAGCAAAAGGGACUUCACAGGUGGGAUUAAGUUAAGGUUCCUGAGAUGGGGAGAGUAUCCUAGAAUGUCCAGGUGGGCCUGAUGUAAUC